rnacentral:rRNA from 1 species
UACGGGGGGGGCAAGCGUUGUUCGGAAUUACUGGGCGUAAAGGGCGCGUAGGCGGUUUGCUAAGUUGAAUGUGAAAACUCUGGGCUUAACCCAGAGCCUGCAUUCAAUACUGGCAGGCUAGAGUUCUGGAGGGGAUAGCGGAAUUCCUGGUGUAGCGGUGAAAUGCGCAGAUAUCAGGAGGAACACCGGUGGCGAAGGCGGGACUCUGGGCCGAUACUGACGCUGAGGAGCGAAAGCGUGGGGAGCAAACAGG